rnacentral:rRNA from 1 species
UACAGAGGGUGCGAGCGUUAAUCGGAAUUACUGGGCGUAAAGCGUGCGCAGGCGGUUUUGUAAGCCAGAUGUGAAAGCCCCGGGCUUAACCUGGGAAUGGCAUUUGGGACUGCAAGGCUGGAGUACGGCAGAGGGAGGUGGAAUUCCACGUGUAGCAGUGAAAUGCGUAGAGAUCGGCAGGAACACCCAGGGGGAAACCAGCGGACUGGCUCGUUGCUGACACUGAGGUGCGACAGCGUGGGGAGCGAACAGG